rnacentral:rRNA from 1 species
AUUGAACGCUGGCGGCAGGCCUAACACAUGCAAGUCGAGCGAGCGGCGGACGGGUGAGUAAUGUAUGGGGACUGCCCGAUAGAGGGGGAUAACUACUGGAAACGGUGGCUAAUACCGCAUACUAUCGGAUAACCCAUAUGGGAUUAGCUAGUAGGUGGGGUAAAGGCUCACCUAGGCGACGAUCUCUAGCUGGUCUGAGAGGAUGACAAGCAAAACUGGAACUGAGAAACGGCCAAGCCUCCUACGGAGGAAGCAGUGGGGAAUAUUGCACAAUGGGCGCAAGCCUGAGGCGGCAAUGCCGCGGGUAGGAAGAAGGCCUUAGGGUUGAAAAGUACUUUCAGCGGGGAGGCGUUACCCGCAGAAGAAGCACCGGCUAACUCCGUGCCAGCAGCCGCGGUAAUUC